AAAGAAACAAAUAAUAAUAUUAUAUAUAGCAAUUCUUUCUAAUUUUGUAUCGCCUAUGAGACAUGAUAUUUUAUAAAGAGAUAAAAAGCAAAAUUAGCAAGCUAAUUUAAGUAAUUGUGCAAAGAAUUUCAAGAAUUACAUUAUUAGAAUUAUUAGGAAAAACCAAUAAAAAAUGUUCUUUAAGACUUUCUGUCCGAGAAUAGAAUGUGGAUCAUUAACAAAUGUGAUGAUUAAAGAAGAGGAUAAACAUCGACAUAUACAAGUGGUACUACUAGUGGGAUUUUCUUGUUUUACUAGCUAUGCCACUGUUGCUCAGCAUCUAUGGCGAUGCAACUUUUCUCAGAUCAACCUGUACUAUGCAUUCAUGUAGAUUCAACAUAAAUUGAAGGGUAGAAACGUAACCUUGACACAAUUAUUUCUCCUUCUACCUGAUUUUACACACUCAUUUCCGCUUCAAUCAAUAAAAACAAAAACAGUUCGUCAUCGUCUACAGUGGAACCUGAGAAACAAACACAAUGCAAGUGAAUUUUGUUUUUUAGAAGAGUGUCAAUAAGACUUUUUCAAAGAAAUUAUAACAGAAAGUAAAAAGAGAGAGAAGGCUGAAAAAAGACAACAGAAAAAAGAGAGUGAAUUACUCCAUUAUCCAUCUCUCCAAUCUCUCCCUUCCCCACUCCCACUGAUUCUAACGCCGCCUCCAAAAACAGGUUCCAGAGGCAUCCACUCCGUCAACCCCCGUCGCCAGCAGCCAAGAACCCUAGCCCUGCUCCAACUGCUACCUGACUCCGCCUUCCUAAGCUGAAGCUUUAGUCGAAGGAGAAGAGAAACAGAAGCAACUUAGAGAAACCCAUUUCUGAUUGUGGCAAUGCACAUGAGGUGCCUCGGAAGCCGUAAUUCAAAUGUGAGAUUAAUUGAAUUGU
rnacentral:lncRNA from 1 species